rnacentral:rRNA from 1 species
GACGAACGCUGGCGGCGUGCCUAAUACAUGCAAGUAGAACGCUGAAGGAGGAGCUUGCUCUUCUGGAUGAGUUGCGAACGGGUGAGUAACGCGUAGGUAACCUGCCUGGUAGCGGGGGAUAACUAUUGGAAACGAUAGCUAAUACCGCAUAACAGUAGAUGUUGCAUGACAUUUACUUAAAAGGUGCAAUUGCAUCACUACCAGAUGGACCUGCGUUGUAUUAGCUAGUUGGUGGGGUAACGGCUCACCAAGGCGACGAUACAUAGCCGACCUGAGAGGGUGAUCGGCCACACUGGGACUGAGACACGGCCCAGACUCCUACGGGAGGCAGCAGUAGGGAAUCUUCGGCAACGGACGGAAGUCUGACCGAGCAACGCCGCGUGAGUGAAGAAGGUUUUCGGAUCGUAAAGCUCUGUUGUAAGAGAAGAACGAGUGUGAGAGUGGAAAGUUCACACUGUGACGGUAUCUUACCAGAAAGGGACGGCUAACUACGUG